UUUUAAAAGUAUAAAAAGAGCAUGUCUAAGUGGAGUAGAAUAAAGCGAAACUGCGAACGGCUCAUUAUAACAGAUAUAACUUACUGGUUCUAUUCAUUCUUAAAUGGAUAACUGCGGUAAUUCUGGAGCUAAUACAUGCGUCAAUGUGUGUUCUUAAUUGAUCACACAGCAUUUAUUGGAGCAAAAUCAAUUUUAAAUUGUUUGCUAACUCUGGAUAAUUCAGCUUAUCUUGAAAAUAUUUCAAGAAGAAACCUUCAGGUAUCUGCUUUAUCAACUAUCGUUGGUAGUGUAUUGGACUACCAUGGUGUUAACGGGUAACGGAGAAUCAGGGUUUGACUCCGGAGAGGGAGCCUUAGAAACGGCUACCAUGUCUAAGGAUAGCAGCAGGCGCGAAAAUUACCCAAUAUCAAAGCGAUGAGGUAGUGACGAGAAAUAACGAGAUCGUUCUCUAUGAGGUCGAUUAUUGGAAUGAGUGCAAUCCAGAAAAGUCGAACGAUUAACAACGAGAGGGCAAGUCUGGUGCCAGCAGCCGCGGUAAUUCCAGCUCUCGUAAUGUAUAGAAUUAUUGUUGCGAUUAAAAAGUUCGUAGUUGGAUUUCUUUGUUGUUUUUGGUUCAAGCUUUAUGUUUGAUACUAAGAAUGGCAUAUUUCAUUUGGUUUGUUUGUUAGUUCAUUCUAGCAAAGAACAAAAUGAGGCUACUUUGAACGGCUCAAGUGCUUAAAGCAUGUCUUCGGACAGAAUACCGGUGCAUGGAAUAAUGGAACAAGGUUUGCGGCCGAGUUUUAUUGGUUUUGUCGGCUGAAACAAUGGUUAACAGGAACAGCCGGGGGCAUUCGUAUCGCUGCGCGAGAGGUGAAAUAAUGACCGGGGAUGGCCAAGGGC
rnacentral:rRNA from 1 species